rnacentral:lncRNA from 1 species
AUGAGGCUUCUCUUGAUGAUGACGAUGAAUCCAUGAAUCUCUGGAUUCGGGUGAACAAAGACAUUUAUAUCUAAUGAUUGACGCGAGAAACUGUAAAUACAUCAUCAACUGAGAAGACUAGAUUCCAUUGGUGUUGAGCCGAUGUCGGUGAUCUUUAGCACUGAGGCAGGUCAAGUGGGGGGGGCUGUACUGACUGCAACUCGCCAACUCCAUUCUCAACUAAGAAAGCCAUAGCCAGACCCCAAUUGAGAUGUGAAUCUAGGUGACAGUGCAGCAACCAAAUCCCUGUUUCAGACCAGCCACAAGCCGGAUGGCUACCCAUCCACCAGGAGGGUUUCCAAUGGUAUUCCUAUAUGGUGGGUCAAUGAGGUUGAACUUUGCUGGAUCUGUUUGAGGGUUGAAGUUACCAAAUCCUGACCCUACAACCGCGAAAUGGUGUCCAUGGAGAUGCAUUGGGUGGUUCUCAACCGUGACUAUACUGGUAUCCUGGAAGACUAUUUGUACCUUUGCACCAAAUUUCAAUUUGUAAAGCUUAGUUGCUUUAACAGGCUGCCAUAGUCCUCGGCUGACGUUGCCAGUGUAAUCGAAUUUUACAGGGGGAACUGGUGGAAAAUCUGUAGUAAAGACUCCAGGUUGGCCUUGGUAGUAGGCCUGCAUUAAGGAGUUUCUUGUUGGGAGUACAAAAGACACAUUAUUUAUGCUAGCGGCGAAACGAGUUCCAUUUGGACCUUGGCAGCGGGGGCUAUUAGGAUUGGUGCAGUUGAUGAGUCCUAACCCCACUGUGAAAAACAGGUUUUCAUCAAUCUGAAGAGGGACAUUAACCUUGGAAGGGCUCCUUAGACUGGAAGUGAAGGCAAUUGCACUGUUUGUGUCAUUAAAGCCUGGCAGUUGUGGGAAGAUAGGUGUUGAGGACCUCCCUUUGUUGGCAUUGCAAGGAGCAGAUUUGUAUUCAAGGAUUGCAGUUGUAGUUGUAUUGUCAAAAGGUGCAUUGGCUGAGUUGUAGGCAUGAGCUGCCAUGUAGUAGUGACCUGGUGUUUGAUCAGCAGUGAGAAGGACAUCGGUUGUCUGACCAGGAGCUAUCAUAAUGAAUGAGGUUGCGAAAGGCUUGGUGAAGUCAGCAUCAACAGAAACUACUGUCAAUAUAUGGUUGGCCACUGCAAAGAAGAAUUCUUGGUUCAGGCCAGAAUUUAUGACCCUUAGGAGGAUUGUUUCGCCAGGAUCCACAGGAAAUCUCACAGUUUCUACAAUGUAAAAACCACAACAGAUGUGAUAUCAUGGUCAACGGUUAGUGAAAGUUUAGUUUGCCAUUGAGCUGAAUAAGUGCUAAAGCAAAAACAAGAAUAACUGGCAAACCUUGCUUGGAGCAUCUGUAGAGGUCGCCGGGUUGGCCAUUGAUGGUAUAAGCAUCAGACACAUUUGGUGCUGCACCUGUGAAAUCUGCCAGCCUCAAGACAUCCAUGGGGUUCCUGUCCCACCACUCCCCUGUCACUCAACAACGUAAUCAGUUUGUCAGUUACGCAAUCAUCUAAUGGUUGGAAGACUUUGAAUUGAAAAUGAGAAAUUGGUCACCAAGAAGAAUGGGAAUUUCUCUCCUGGGCAUUGGGAAUGAAUAUGGGGAACCCAAUUUAGGAUGAAUGAUUAGAGCACCAUAAACAGUGGCUCUAAGCCAGCUGCUAUGAGCAUGCCACCACAAAGUCCCUUCUUGAUUUUCGAUUGUGAACCGGUAGGUAUAACUCCUUCCUGGUCGGAUAGGGCAUUGUGUCACUCGAUCAGGUCCAUCUGCCCAUGGAUUUCGCAGCUGUCGGACUCCAUGCCUGAUAAAUUCAGACACAACAAUUGAACAUAGUUGAAACAUGCAUGUAUGUGCAUGCAAUUCUCUCUUUUCUCUUCUUGAUUAUUUUACUCUCAUACAACAUGUUUGAUAAUUACCAGUGGAGGGUAACAUUGUAUCUAGCAUUAUUUAUUGCCUUGAUCACAAGAGAAUCACCGUCCCGCACUUCCAGUGUUGGCCCCGGAAAUAGUCCAUUAACUGUAAUUGUAUUAUGAGUUCUGCACAGCCUCCUCACUGGCUUAGCUUGAAUCUGUUUCAAUCCACACAAAAAAGAAAAAGAAGUUACUUCUAUGCUUCAUUCUCACACACACAACAGAACGAAGAUAGUAAUGAAGACAACACGUACAACAAACUCAUGGUAGUGAGUUUCUGCUUCAGAGAAAGAUGCUUGGAAACUGAUGAUUACAAAAAUGCCAAGGAGGAGGCAACAAUAUAAUUGCUUUACAGUCAAGUUAUGAGUCUCCAUUGCUUUCUUAGCCUUGGUUGUGUAAGAAAUCUUGAAUGUGUUUGAUAUAGCCCAGGAAGACCAUCUAUUUAUACUAGUAGGAUAAAGCGGGAAAGGACGAGACAUGGAGCUCUCUUUCUUUCGUUCUUUCUCCUUAGAAAUUUUAGGGCAGUUUAGUCUAACCAUAAAGGAGAUUUGGUGCACCCACUUGCCCCGUCAAUCUUUUGAUUAACCAAAUGAAGAGUCUGCACUGAAAGGACUGAGGCACCAAUCAUAUGAUCUUGCUGCUGGGCAGGUGCACCUCUUAUUCCAUGGUAUUUUGGAGACCUCUCUUAAAUCCUAUAUCUUGAUUAUUUUUUAGCUUAGUGGUGG